AUGCCGCUGCCGUCGCCGCCCGCCCGGCUGGCCGUGCCGGCCGCCGUCCUCCUCGUCCUCCUCCACCUCGCCGCCACGGCCACGGCGACCAACUUCACCUGCAGCGCGCCGCGGGGCACCACCUGCCAGUCCGCCAUCGGCUACCGCGUGCCCAACGCCACCACCUACGGGGACCUCCUCGCCCGCUUCAACACCACCACCCUCGCCGGCCUCCUCGGCGCCAACGGCCUCCCGGUCGCCACCUCGCCCAAGAAGCGCGUCGCCGCCAAGCAGACCGUCCGCAUCCCCUUCCGCUGCCUCUGCGCCGGCAACGGCGUCGGCCAGUCGGACCACGCGCCCGUCUACACCGUGCAGCCGCAGGACGGGCUGUACGCCAUCGCCCGCGACUCCUUCGACGCCGUCGUCACCUACCAGGAGAUCGCCACCGCCAACAAGAUCGCCGACGUCAACCUCAUCACCGUCGGCCAGAAGCUCUGGAUCCCGCUGCCCUGCAGCUGCGACCCCGUGGACGGCGCCGCCGCCGUCUUCCACCUCGCCUACAUCGUCGACGGCGGGGAGACCACCUCCGGCAUCGCCGCCACCUUCGGCGUCACCGAGGACACGCUGCUCAAGCUCAACAAGAUCGCCGACCCCAAGACACUGCAGAAGGACCAGGUUCUUGAUGUCCCGCUCCCUGUUUGCAGCUCAUCAAUCAGCAACACCUCGGAUGAUCAUGAUCUGCGCCUCCCGAACGGCACCUACACGCUCACCGCGCAGGACUGCAUCCAGUGCCGCUGCAGUUCAAACACCUUCCAGCUAAAUUGCACCGCAGUGCAAGGAAAAAAGGGAUGCCCAGCAGUGCCGCCGUGCAGCGAAGGGCUCAAUCUUGGGCAGACAAGUGGUGCCGGUUGCGACUUCAAGAUGUGCGCUUACAGUGGUUAUUCCAACAGCUCUUCACUCAGCAUACAGACCACUCUUUUCAAAAACCAGACAGCACCAGCUUGCGAGAAAGCAGGAUCUUUGAGGUCGGCGUUCGCAGGGUCCAUGUGGAGGAUAUCUGCUAUCUCCUUCCACAUGGUGUUGAUCUUGGUAUGCUUCCUUUGA
rnacentral:rRNA from 1 species